GACGAACCGUGCAAACGUUGUUCGGAUUCACUGGGCUUAAAGGGCGCGUAGGCGGGUGGUCAAGUCAGGGGUGAAAUCUUUCAGCUCAACUGGAAAACAGCUUCUGAUACUGGCCAUCUUGAGGGAGGUAGGGGCAUGUGGAACUUCCGGUGGAGCGGUGAAAUGCGUAGAUAUCGGAAGGAGCGCCGGUGGCGAAAGCGACGUGCUGGACCUUUUCUGACGCUGAGGCGCGAAAGCCAGGGGAGCAAACGGG
rnacentral:rRNA from 1 species